CCUACGGGGUGCAGCAGUGGGGAAUAUUGCACAAUGGGGGGAACCCUGAUGCAGCGACGCCGCGUGGGUGAAGGAGUAUUUCGGUAUGUAAAGCCCUAUCAGCAGGGAAGAACAAUGACGGUACCUGACUAAGAAGCACCGGCUAAAUACGUGCCAGCAGCCGCGGUAAUACGUAUGGUGCAAGCGUUAUCCGGAUUUACUGGGUGUAAAGGGAGCGCAGGCGGCGCGUUAAGCCUGGUGUGAAAGCCCGCGGCCCAACCGCGGGACUGCAUUGGGAACUGGCGCGCUGGAGUGCCGGAGGGGUAGGCGGAAUGCCUAGUGUAGCGGUGAAAUGCGUAGAUAUUAGGAGGAACACCAGUGGCGAAGGCGGCUUACUGGACUGUAACUGACGUUGAGGCUCGAAAGCGUGGGGAGCAAACAGGAUUAGAUACCCGUGUAGUC
rnacentral:rRNA from 1 species